rnacentral:lncRNA from 1 species
UCUGUGUUUUGUUGUUUUACUUCUUAGGGCAUCGAGAUGGAAUACCAGUGUACUGAACUAAAAAUGUUAAGUCACACAAACAUUUUAAUUAAUUCGUUCAUUUUCUCGUCUAAUAUCAGUGAAAAGCCACUAUAAAUAAUCUCAUAGAUAUAUAGGCUGAUAAUGUAAUGCACCACACAAUUACCGUGAGUGACGUCAUAAAUUAUGUAAAUAAUAAAGUACGAAGUUGAAGAGCAUUCAGGUCCAGAUGGAAAAAUAGAGUUAAGUGCUUAUUUGGAAAAAAAAUUACAUGAAAUACGUGUUCCCAAAUUUUUCUCGCAAAAUGCGUGGAAAGAAUUGCAUGUUAACAAUUCUGCACUAAUAACAUGUACUGUAUUUAAAACAUAACAUGAUUAUUAGGGUUGUUUGACGAAAUAUUUUAAUUCAAAGGCCAUAUAAAAGUACGAUGUGUUCGGAAAAGAGUUAUUCAUGACAAACUAACAUAUUCUGUAACUUUAAUUUUUCUUAUUUCAGCUAACUCUUAUCCAUUUUCUUAUUUCAGCUAACUCUUAUUCUUCGGUCUUAACUCUUGGACCGAAGAAAAUUGUUCUUAACAAGAAAGCAAAACAAUACUACAAAAAAAGAGAUUCACUCACAAGAGGCAAGUUGUGAUAUUCAUGGAUAAUUCUGAUAAUUUCAUCGUGGGAUACUUUUAUUUCAAUUCAGAAGAAAAUUAACACAGUGAAAUGAACAAUAAAAAUAGUACAGAUUUGACUGUCUGUCUGCUAUUGAUUUAUCUUGAACAGAUUCUGCAUUAAACACAUAAUUGGGUAAUAGAAUCUUAAAAAAUCAAGACCUCGUAGACUUUGUGAACGAUCUUGUUCGGUGAUCAUUUUGCUAUUCACAAUUUUACUCUGUCUAUUGUUUAUUCUGCAAAGAGGUUGUAAACAGCUUCAUUCGAAAGCAAUCUCUCCUAUUAGCAGUGAAGAAUCGAUAUCGGCUUUUUAUUCAAAUCAAACAAGUAUACCCCUUUUGAACGAUAUUAACCGAUAAAGAAUUCAGACUAUAGUAUAUAGCGUAAACAUCGGAACUAAAGAACAUC